UUAACGUACGAGCCGUAUGUAGACAUGCACAUUUAAUCCACAUCUACGAAGCACAUAAAAUCCUUGGUUGCGUACAGGGAGCAUUAGUUUUAAAGGGAUAUAUAUAUUCUUGCGCAAAUUGUUUACGAGGAAAUUCUGACGAUCACAUUAACAGCGAUGAACAGUCUUGUGUCGGAGUUUUCUGUAAUAAAUGUAGCGAGUGAUGAAAGAGUUCACGGUGACAUUUUAAUAUAUGAUUGGCGUGGACCUUGGAAAUGAAGGUGUGACUGCCAUCUGAUAACUGAAAUUUGAUACCAAGCAUGACCAUAUUUGCCAGAAGAGCAUCUGUUUGGAGAUGACGAAGAAUAAGCAGCAUUAUAGUGAAAUUUAAACAGUCACACAAGGAUAAAAGUCCUUCCAUCUAGGAUUAUGGACACAUCAGGCCUUAAUACAUUAAAAACUUACAAUGUAAUAUAUGUAUUUUUACAAAAUAAUUUAGAGAGAACUGCUAUUUUGGCAUAUACAACAACAAAUGUUAACAUAUGUGCAUAUUUCAAAUGACUUCAGUGCUAAGGGCAUGUACAUGAACAAGGAUUGUUAGAAAAGUUUGCGGACACAUUGAUUUAAGGAAAAUUUACUGUGCACUUUGAAAAAUGACAUUUAUCUGAUUAAAUUCUUAUAUUUUGUUUA